CCUCCUUUUCUUGGUAGGGGCCGGGCGCACGGUCCCGAUCUGCAUAAGGUACAGAUAAGGGAUGGGCUCUGGCCCCCUCGGUGUCAUGUCUUCAGUAACAGUGGCCACAGUCUACCAGUUCUGUCAUCAAGCGCUGGGACACAG
ensembl:snoRNA